CAAAGCGAUGCCAAUGUGUAGGAGGUUUGUGUCUGGAUUCAACCAUAUUUGUUUCGUCACGAAACGAUUUAUAGUGGAGGCUGUUUGGUAAUAUCUAGUCUAGACAUUUAAACAUUUUCCAUGUUAAUAAAAGGUCAAUACGUCUUUGCUGAAAAACAAAGCGAGAAGAUACCAGUUGCUUUGCAAAGCACGUAUUCGUCAUCCAAUAUUCUUGGUGGUGAUCCCGUUUCCUACAAAAUGCAACCUGGUUAUAAGGACAUUUUAGACAUAGGCCCAGUGUACCGAAGCAAUCAGAAGACAGCACAGACAUACAGCAGAGAGUGAGUGUAGCUAUGGUGGUGGCGCGACCAGUCGAGACUGCGCUAACAUGCAGCCUUUGUCCAGCACCACUGGUAAAGCGGCUGUACCCUCAGAGUCGCCAGGUGUUCGUCCCCCACCUACAACAACCCAUACGUACAGUAAUAAUUUGCCCUUCUCGUUAGCGGAAGUCGAACAAAGAGACGAAAAAUCGGAGUCUAACGCUCUCAACAUCCUCAGGUUCAAGUGACAAGUCAACCCUCUGCCGGAUGUACAGGUCCUUCCCGCAUCCGGGGGUUGAAGGGACGAGGUGUGGCAAUGAUACUCUAAGAAGUGACGUUACGAUGACGUUUAGCGACUUAUAAUGCUGAACCUCAAAAUUUCGCUCGAAUUUCACGAAAGAAGGAACAGAGGGCCUAGUUGUAGCCGGUGGGUUACGGCUCACCUUCUUAUUGAUUUUUAUGCUGAUGAUAUCGUUUGACAGUUCUCCCUCAUCUGGCGUUGUAAGUCAUAAAUAGCAAACUUCAAUUGUAUAUGAGGAGAGAAAGCUAAAGUAGUAUGCAGUAUUGCACAUUGUUCCCCUGUGUGCCUCCGGUCUAUGUUGUCUGUUUUGAUUUUGUCAAGCUGCUUAAGAUUUAAUACCUUUAGUGAAGUACAAAGUAUAUAACAAAACACAUUAUAAGUAUAGACAAUUCAAAAGUAGAAAACUGCGCUCUCAUAACGGCAAUAUUGGAAAGCAGUAAUGCAUCGGAUUUUUAAAGCAGAUGCUACACAGCCGAGCAACAGUUCAAAUUCGACGCGAACUUGACGCGGGAAGUGUAGGUCAGUAGAUCAAUUUUGAGAGAGGCAGACCGGCAGAGCGCGGGAAAAGGCCUACCAACCUCACAAACGAUGCGUGCGUUGGCCAUCGUUCGGCGUUGACGGAUUCCGGCACGCGCUUCCGCAUUUUAUGUCUGUAGUUCUUUUUACGUAGAUAGACAGUCUCCGAUGUAUUGCAGGCAGAAUCUUUCUGAAGUCACUGUUUUUAUUUCUCCAGGAAAUGUUUUUGGAAUACGAUUAAACAUGUAUAUUCCGUCUUUUGAAUAUUAGUUGCAGUAAUAACUUCAUGUCAGUGUCAUGUUAAAACAUAUAGCAUGUUUUAUAUAUUAACAAUUACAAUUCAUUAAAAAAAA